rnacentral:lncRNA from 1 species
UGCAAUUGCUUCAUGAACAUUACGUGGCAAUAAUGCUGAAAAAGCAAACGGAAGGAGGCGCUGCAUAAUUACAUGACAAUCAUGACUCUUCAAGCCAGUAAACUUUCAUUCGCUUCUAUCAACGCAGUUCCCCAAAUUUGAUGCAUAUCCGUCAGGAAAUUUCACUUUUUCUGUAAUCCAAUCAAAGAACUCUUCUUUUCUAGCACCAUCUAGCCGAUAAAUGGGAAAAGGGGUCGUACCGUUCUCAUCAACGUGAAGUUCAGAACGAUCACAAAUAUCGACUAAAUCCAACCUUGACUUCAAAUUAUCCUUCGUUUUACCUUGGAUGUUAAGGACUGUGUUCAUCAGAUUAUCGAAGAAGUUCUUCUCAAUAUGCAUGACAUCUAAAUUAUGCCGCAAUAGAUGACUCUCCCAAUAUGGCAGUUCCCAGAAAAUACUCUUUUUGUGUCAGUUAUGUAGCUCUCCAACCGAAUUGACUCGAAUGUUUUCAUGUCCACCUACAUCUGGCGUCCUUUCUGCAUCAAAAUACCUAAACUGCUUCAACAAAUCUUUCC